rnacentral:rRNA from 1 species
UACGAGGGGGGCGAGCGUUGUUCGGAAUUAUUGGGCGUAAAGGGUGCGUAGGCGGUUUGGUAAGUCUUGUGUGAAAUCUCCAGGCUCAACUUGGAGUCUGCACGAGAAACUGCCGGGCUUGAGUGUGGGAGAGGUGAGUGGAAUUCCCGGUGUAGCAGUGAAAUGCGUAGAGAUCGGGAGGAACACCAGUGGCGAAGGCGGCUACCUGGACCAGCACUGACACUGAAGCACGAAAGCGUGGGGAGCAAACAGG